GUUAGGUGGUAAAAGCAGUGUUUGCCAUAAAAAUCAGGUCGUUGGUUAUUUUGGUGGGGAGGGAGAGGUAGUGUUUGGAAGGGGACACAAGGGAAGGUUUUGGGACGCAUGGUAUACCGGUUGUCAAUGUAUGGCCUCGCACCUCCAAAUCCAUCCUUUAAUACCUGCUCUGUGGGCACAGCCAGAAUCCCCUUCCGCGGCUCCCCUCGCGGCAGGGAGGAUGCUGAACAGUAGAGGGCGCUGGAGACACGCUGCGGGAGGCUGUCGCUCGGGUCCGGCUGCGGGCCACAGGCCGCGGAUCGCGCUCUGCCAGCGCCCCACGCCCGCAAGCGCGGCCCCUCCGCCACCUCGCGGCCCGGCCUGACCUGUUAAUCACGUCCCCACGGCUCUCCUAGCGGGGACACCGCCGUCUGCAGGCUCCGUCCCCACAGUGCCCAGACCCCGGGAAGUUUGUCAGUCAGCACCCUGAUGCCAGCCGAUUCUCAAAAAGCCAGGAGGAUCCAAGCAGAUGAUUUGCCAGACGGUACUGCAGCAAUGGAGAUGAACAGAUAAUUCACACAGAAAGAAGGACGAGGGAUUGGAUCAAGCUGGGGCGAGAUAGAGUGGGGAAGUGAUGAGCUAAGAAAAAUUAGCCUGCAAGCAUGACGUGUCGCACGUCAGCAAGGCUGCAGCCUUGGAUUCUGAUGUCUUGAGAAGAGCGAUUCACCUGUGAAUUCUCACAGCCCUGGCCUCAGAAAGACGGCCCGGGACCAGGCCCGAUGGCACCCCUCUUCCCAGCUCUCAGCCAGGGCGGAAGGCACAAGUGAUGGCCCUGGCCUCCGCAGUCACACUCCUCCUGAAAGCUGACUGGCUGAACCUCACCUCUUGGCUAGCUUGCCACCCAGCUCUUGAGAACAUGUUUGUCCAAGGCCUCUUGGCAGGUCUCGAUGACUCCUUCCCCUAAGGGCCCCCAGUCACCUGCUAAGGCUCCCAGGCCCCUGUGAAACUGGCUCGGUGCCCCAAUAGACUCUCCACCUCCAGACCCUAAGCCGGCCAGCCCAGAGUGCAGCAAGGCACCACACCUACCCUGUGAGGGCACUCGGGCCCCGCGCUGGCCUCUGACAGCACAGGAAGCUUCUGCAUUCACGCUGAGGCCUGUCUUUUGCCUUCCUUAGAUAAACUUGCCAGAAACCCCAUAGUGCUUCAGGCCUUUGGGAUAAUUCCCCUGAGCCCCAUAGGCCAGGGCCUGGCAUUCAGUAGUUGCUCUAAAAUUGUGUUUUCACCCACUCUCUUCCAGGUAGUCAGGACAGGGAAGCCCAGGCUUCUGGUCACCACUCACCAAAUCUCUCCCCUGCCCCUCUAUCAGGGAUCAGCUCCUAUAGGCCUUAACCUAGCAGACUAGGUAAAGCAGAGCUGGUGGCAUCAAGGGUCCCGGGGGCUGCAGAGCCCUGGCUGGUACAGGAGGCUGGGCUCUCCUGUAGGUCUGCACCUUCCCAGCAACGCGGAGGGCACCAGACCCUGCCUGCUCCAGAGGCUGUACCUGAAAGAUGAAGUGCUCGUCAAACUGCGGGUUGGAGGUUUUGCGUUUGGUCUUGGAUUGGAGGAAGCGCCGCUCAUCGGGCAGCAGGUAGAGCUUCACCAGGGGCCGCUCAGCCUCCUGCUCAUAUUCCACCGAGAACCACAGCCGCCCCAGGCAGCCGUCGGGGAAGUCGGUCUCACUUUUGUCCUCCGGGAACUUGUACAGCUCUGGGUUGAUGGCCCCCACCAUACAUGCAUCUCCUAUGACAGAGGGUGGGAGGGCUGGCAGGCCAGAGGAAGGCAGGGGCAUGGGAGACAGUGGCAAGCUCUGGGCACCCAUCCCCAUCCUGGCCCAUCCGUCUCUGCUGAGCCUCAGCUAGCCUGACCACAUCUGCCCCACUCUCCUCACCAGGCUAAACACAUCCCCUCUCUCUGGUGCAGCUCCUCCAAGAAGCCUUCUCACCAUGAAGGCAUUGCAUGGCCAGGCUGGGGAUCCAGCAGAGUCCUGCCCCCUGGGAUUGGCCCCCAUCCUUGGAGGUCAGGACCUGUUUCAAGGACACAGUGCCCAUCACCUGGCCUAGCCCCCUUCCAUGGCGUCUAGGGAAUGACUCAGCGAUAAAACAUUGCCUUUCUUCUUCCUCUUCAAAUUAGAAGGGCCAAGGUGAUUAUUGGGUGGUUCCUGUGAUGGUCUCUUGGUAGAUCUUCAGGGCAAAGAGGUGGCAGAAAGCUGUGUUUGCAGCCCCUACCAUUCUGUCCUCUUGGUCAACCAACCCAUCAUCCUAGAGUGGGACCCAGCACAAGUUCUGUACAUGGCGUGCCUGGGUUCCAAUUCCAAUCUGUUGCUUACAGCCUCAGUUAAGACUAUGUAAAAUGGGGUGAUAAUUCCUCCCCCUCAGAGUCAUGGUGAGGUCUCACUCCAAAUCAGCACCCAAGGCCAUAUCUUACCCUCAUGGGGUGCAGCAAGCACUUCAUAAAUGAAAGCACCCAGAAAGAGUGGUCCCUGGGUGGUCCCUGGCAUCCCUGGCUGGUUCAGGUUGUGUUCCGGAGCCAAGCUGGUGAAAGCAGAUGGGGCCACCCGAGCAGACCCUGACCUCUGGGCAGCCCUGGCAAGGACACUCACCAAGGCCGCCGCUGGAGGUGUGAGGCAGCAGCUCUGAUGCCGGGCAGGGGUCCCAUGGGGCAUCGGCCCACUCUCCACUGUGCAGGGGCACCCAAUCUCGGCCUUGAAGGGUUGGGGGCACCACGAAUGGCACAGCUGGUGGCCUGUCCAGAGUCAGGGAGACAACAUGUAGGUGGCAAGUCAAUGGUGUGGUCUCAGAGCGCUCAGCCAGGACGGUUGAGCACCAGGGGCUGGAGGAAGAAAAGCCAUCGGGAGCCAGGAGGAGGCCAGGGCACCAUUUUCUGGGCCCAUACCAGGCAACACACACACACACACACGCACACACACACACACACACACACACACACACACACACAGCAGUGGGAUUUGAAGAAGGAACACAGCACCUGACAGUGUCAGCCAGUCUGGGUUUGGAUUCCUGUUCUGCCACUUGCCACUUCACCCAGUAACUGUCCUCAGCUGUGCGCUUAACUGGCGAGAUCUCCGCUCUACUUGGAGACAGUCUGGGGUGUCUGGAGAAUCCUCCCCCACUUCUGCUUACCCCAGGUCGCUGUGGGAGCAGGUGUCUCAGGAAAUGGGGCCUGGGUCCCACCCAAGGCCUCGGGUCUGAGUUAGAUGUCUGUAUGUUUGUUGUUGCCCCUGCAACAAAGUACCACAGAUUGAGUAGUUUAAGCCACAUGCAUGUUAUCUCACAGUUCGGGGGGUCGGGAAUCUAAACUGGGUUGGCAGGGCCUGUGCCUUCUGGAGGCAAGGGAGCUGUUUCCCAGCGUUUCCAGCUCCUAGAGGCUGCUAGCUAGUGGCCCUUUCCUUUGUCUUCAAAGCCGGCAGCACAGCCUUUUCUAACCUCUCCCACUCCAGGUCAUUUCACAUCAACUCUUUCUGCCUCCCUCUUGUAAGUGUGAUACCCUACCUUGUUUUAACCUGAAUUGACUGUCCCUUAGCUGAGAGAGCCAGACACACUCCAUUUUGGCUCCUUCACUUGCAGCCCCUUACCCACCCCCCUUCCUCAAGGACUUAACUUGUGCAAGCUGACUCCCAGCACAUCAAAGAAUGCAAUUAAUGGAUAAGAUACUGUGGCAAGCUAUAUCCGCAGUUCCCAGGAAUUUGCCCAGUUGAUAGUACCCUAAGCCCCCACAUUUGUGUCCGGUUGAUGGUACCCAAAGCCCCCGCAUCUAUCGCCUUGUGAUGGAUUUAAAACCCCUGCACCUGGAACUGUUUGUUUUCCUGUAACCAUUUGUCUUUUAACUUUUUGCCUGUUUUGCUUCUGUAAGAGUGCUUCAGCUAGGCUCCUCCUCCCCUUUCUAAACCAAAGUAUAAAAGAAAAUCUAGCCCUUUCUUCAGGGCCGAGAGAAUUUUGAGCACUAGCCGUCUCUCGGUUGCCGGCUAAUAAAG
rnacentral:lncRNA from 1 species